rnacentral:lncRNA from 1 species
CGGCGCUUCCUACACCCAGAGGUGCAGAUUUCCCACGUGAAUCGUUUGUAGUUCCUCUCUGCAUUUCCUCUUCAGUUUCUCUGACCUGCUGAAGGCUUGCCAUUCGUCAUCACUCUAGUUGCAGGGAGGAGAUUUGCCAACUAAUUUGGAUCAAGAUCAGUACUGAAAGAAGAAGAAGAAGAAGAAGAAGAAGAAGAAGAAGNNNNNNNNNNNNNNNNNNNNNNNNNNNAGCUGCUGCUGAGUGGUGGUGGCACACAAUUUUAAUCCCAGCACUUGAGAGGCAGGGGCAGGUGGAUCUCUAUGAGUUCGUGACCAGCCUGGUCUGCAGAGCAAGUUCCAUGACAGCCAGGGCUACACAAAGAAACCCUGCCUCCAAAUAAUAAGUAAAUAAACAAACAAAUAAAUAACAAAACAAAAAACAAACCAAAACCCAUGCCCCCCCCCAAAAAAAACCAGAAAUACAAUUUAAGGAAUACAUCAUGAUCUUUAUGAAAUACCCCAAUGAUCCCUUCAUGCUUCCCCAAUACACCUUCCCAUACCUGCAUAACCUUGUUUUAGACAUAGAGUUCAGCAUUUUCACAGGCUUAACUAAGUAUUGAGCCAGACACAUCCUGUUCUUGCUGAAUAUUAGCCCAUAGGAAUGACAGUCAGUUAACCACAAUCAUAUUCUGACUGACAUCUGGCUACAGAGUUCUUGUACCCAAUACUACCUGACUGACCCAGUCAAAAAUAGGAGCCAAUAAUAAAGCUGUUCAUGUAAACCU